AACGAACGCUGGCGGCAUGCCUAACACAUGCAAGUCGAACGAGACCUUCGGGUCUAGUGGCGCACGGGUGCGUAACGCGUGGGAACCUGCCCUUAGGUUCGGAAUAACUCCCCGAAAGGGGUGCUAAUACCGGAUAAUGUCUUCGGACCAAAGAUUUAUCGCCCUUGGAUGGGCCCGCGUUGGAUUAGCUAGUUGGUAGGGUAAAAGCCUACCAAGGCGACGAUCCAUAGCUGGUCUGAGAGGAUGAUCAGCCACACUGGGACUGAGACACGGCCCAGACUCCUACGGGAGGCAGCAGUGGGGAAUAUUGGACAACGGGCGAAGGCCUGAUCCAGCAAUGCCGCGUGAGUGAUGAAGGCCUUAGGGUUGUAAAGCUCUUUUACCCGGGAUGAUAAUGACAGUACCGGGAGAAUAAGCUCCGGCUAACUCCGUG
rnacentral:rRNA from 1 species